AACGGGGUGCCUUCUGGCUGAGAGACGUGGCGCGGUCGCGCGAACGUCAACCCGUCGAACCUGAUCCGGAUCAUACCGGCGGAGGGAUUGGGAUA
rnacentral:ncRNA from 1 species